CAGGAGAGGGGCAUCCAUAACAUUCUCCAGACCUGCCCACAGUGAAAGGGAAGAGAUUCUACUUGGAACGUACACAAAGAGGUGGAAUCUUGGGGACCACCCAGAACUCUGCCUACCACACUACCAAUACCACUUUUCAACAGGCACUGUACUCAGGUUCAUGUUUGAUAUUCUACUGCUAAUCCACACAGCAAUGUGACAAUCUCCCUGGGUUCUCUGCAGCUCUUUAAAUGGAUGCCAGCUCACUACUCAAUAAGUCCAGGAUAAGAACCAUACAUUGUUCAUCGCUGAGUCUCAUAGUGUAGAGACAGACAUAUCAGCUCAAGAAGUGCUUGAUGAAUGAAUCAAGGAAUGAGGAAGAAAACAACAAGGGCUUUGACUUCUGGAAAGAAAUGUACUCAUUACUAUCAACGAGAGGAACACUGGACUGAUUGAACAUAUAUAAAUUGAG
ensembl:lncRNA